rnacentral:rRNA from 1 species
AUUGAACGCUGGCGGCAUGCUUUACACAUGCAAGUCGAACGGCAGCGCGGGGCAACCUGGCGGCGAGUGGCGCACGGGUGCGUAAUAUAUCGGAACGUACCCAGCAGUGGGGGAUAACGUAGCGACAGUUACGCUAAUACCGCAUACGAUCUACGGAUGAAAGUCGGGGACCGCAAGGCCUUAUGCUUUUGGAGCGGCCGAUAUCUGAUUAGCUAGUUGGUGAGGUAAAGGCUCACCAAGGCGACGAUCAGUAGCUGGUCUGAGAGGACGACCAGCCACACUGGAACUGAGACACGGUCCAGACUCCUACGGGAGGCAGCAGUGGGGAAUUUUGGACAAUGGGCGCAAGCCUGAUCCAGCAAUGCCGCGUGAGUGAAGAAGGCCUUCGGGUUGUAAAGCUCUUUUGUCAGGGAAGAAACGGUAGAGGCUAAUAUCCUUUGCUAAUGACGGUACCUGAAGAAUAAGCACCGGCUAACUACGUG